rnacentral:rRNA from 1 species
AGCGAACGCUGGCGGCAGGCCUAACACAUGCCAGUCGAACGAACUCUUCGGAGUUAGUGGCGGACGGGUGAGUAACACGUGGGAACGUGCCUUUAGGUUCGGAAUAACUCAGGGAAACUUGUGCUAAUACCGAAUGUGCCCUUCGGGGGAAAGAUUUAUCGCCUUUAGAGCGGCCCGCGUCUGAUUAGCUAGUUGGUGAGGUAAAGGCUCACCAAGGCGACGAUCAGUAGCUGGUCUGAGAGGAUGAUCAGCCACAUUGGGACUGAGACACGGCCCAAACUCCUACGGGAGGCAGCAGUGGGGAAUCUUGCGCAAUGAGCGAAAGCCUGACGCAGCCAUGCCGCGUGAAUGAUGAAGGUCUUAGGAUUGUAAAAUUCUUUCACCGGGGACGAUAAUGACGGUACCCGGAGAAGAAGCCCCGGCUAACUUCGUG